rnacentral:snoRNA from 1 species
CAUGCAGGUAGAACUGAGACUUGCUUAUGAGCAAUAGAAAAUGCAAAGGUGCGGUGAACUCACAAGCGUAAUGUGCUACAUGAGAGGCAAGUUUUUCGCUAGCAGCACAAGGGUCUCUGGCCCAAUGAGCAGAGUUCCUUGCUACAAGU